AUGAGUCGCUUCUUUGUGUUUGAAUUGUUGGAAAUGUGUCCUAUGCAUCCUUGCUCAGAGAUUAUGAACUUUACCAUGAGCUCUGGCCUUAGUUCAAGCCAGGAAAACUUAAAGAGUGAUUUGGCUGGUAGAUUUUUAUUGUACUCAGUUAAGAAGAUGAAUCAGCACUAUUUUAUAGACGAACUUCUUACAUUAAGCUCUCAUUUAUGCCAGGUAAAGAAGGAAAAAGAAUCUUUUAAAAAGAAGGCAGAAAUUGCAAGAGAGAAUUAUUCUGAUUAUCAUUUAAGAAUAUUAUCAUCUUUCAAAAGUCUUUUUUCCAACAGGCUAAAUGUGUCUCACAGUCCCACUUGCUGUCUGAAUCUGCCUUCUGAAACCUUGCUCAUCUGCUCAUCACCAAAUCCAGCGAUAUCUUCUCGACCUUCUUGCUUCACAGUUCGCACUGAUGACCACUCCUCCUUGAAAUUUUCUUCCUUAGAACUUGUGACAUAAGGGUGCCCCCUCCAUUUCAGCAUCUCUGGUUCUUUCAUAAUCUCUCCUGCUUUGUAAACGUAAGCGGCUCAUAGGGUGUCGCUGUUGCUGUUGUAUGUGCUGAUGGAGUGGAAUGGCACUUUUUUUAAAACUUCGAUCUUCUUUUCUCUCAACAAUCUUUUAGUAAUAACAUCUGUCACUGCCCCUGGGUCCACCAUUAUCCAUAGGUACUUUCUUAAUUGGUUCUUUUCUUUAUAUGAGGAAGCUACCUCAUAUAAUAUCUCAACAUCUGAAAAUCCUACCAGUAUUUUAUACUCAGUAAUCUAAAAUUUACUCAUUGUUUUGCUUGCCAAAUAACCUCCUUCGAAAAUCUUUGCUAUCUCCAGUUAAUGGUGUCUUCUGUCUCCUACUUAUCCAACUUGAAGUCAAUUCUUAAUAUUUAAUCUCGUUUGCUUCCCUUCCCUUUCUAACCACUUGAUAAGAAAUGUGGCUCCUUAUACCUUUUUUUUUUUUUUUUUUUUUUUUUUUUGGUUUCAUUUCAUCCCCUCUACUUCUACCAGUGAAAAAUUUUCCCACAUAGAUGGAACUGAGUGUAAACUAGUCUCACCCUUUGAUUUUUCGUUUCUUGUGAGAUCUAGUAUUGCACCUCCCAUAGUAUAAGGGUUCAACAAAUAUUUAGAAAAUUAAUUAAAUAAGGCAAUGAGUUUUUAAAUUUUCAGCAAGAAGGAAACUGCAUAAAAGUCACAGCAAAGAAAACACUGAGUUUUCAAAAGCCUAGAACUUAAAUUGAGAAGGAA
rnacentral:lncRNA from 1 species